rnacentral:rRNA from 1 species
UACAGAGGUGCGAGCGUUGUCCGGAAUCACUGGGCGUAAAGGGCGCGUAGGCGGCUUGAUAAGCGUGCGGUGAAAGCCCGGGGCUCAACCCCGGGUCGGCCGUGCGAACUGUCGAGCUGGAGCACUGUAGAGGCAGGUGGAAUUCCGGGUGUAGCGGUGGAAUGCGUAGAGAUCCGGAAGAACACCGGUGGCGAAGGCGGCCUGCUGGGCAGUGGCCUGACGCUGAGGCGCGACAGCGUGGG